UCGAGACUCGAGAGUGUGCAGGUGUGUUUCUUAGCUUUCCGCAAAGGGAGAGAGACAGCGAGAGAGAGAGAAAGCACAAUCGAAACAGAGAGAGAGGGAGAUAGCGAAAGUGAGCCAGAGAGAGUGGUGAUUCUGUUUUGCUGUGAGGAGGAAGACGAUCUGCUUCUUGCUGUGAUUCCGAUUGCAAGAUGCACUUUUCCCAAUUGCUGCUUCUGAGACCUUCUAUUUGUUUUGGUGUAGAGAGAGAGAGAGAGAGAGGGAGAGACUGUGAAAGGAAAAAAAGGAAUGAUCGAUCUAGAUUUAGAAAGAAGGAGAAGAGGGAUCUGAUUCUGGGUUUGUUUUGGGUUGCUUGGGGGAAUUUGAUUUACCGAUCAUAGUCGGUAAUUUAGAAAGAAGAAGAAGAGGGAUUUGAGUGUAGCUUUGUUUUGGCUUGCUUGGGGGAAUUUGAGGUUUACUGGUCGUGUUGGAAGGGGGUGUGCAAGGAGAAGAGGUAAUUUUGCCCUUGAGUUUAGUGAAUAAAGAAAACGCCUGAUAUUGUAGUGGGUUCGGGAAGCCUCUAUUGACCGUAGCCGUGGAACCCAGAUAACUCUCUUCAUUGUUUCACAGUAUCAGGUGCAUCGAUCAAGCUCGCAGAUACGAAGGUUGUUGUGCUGAUAACGAGUUGUAAAGGUUUGGUUUACAGAGUUUAUGAGCCGGAUUUAAUAUACAAUUUGGGAUUUUGAAUAAUCGAUUUGAUGUAGUAUUUCAGAUUUUGGAUCAUAGAUCGCCGGCGUGGGAGGAAGAAGAGGAGAGAUUCAAGAUUUUGGUGGCCUUUUGGAGCAAGGUUUGGGAGGAAGCUUUCAAUAGACGCUUCCGUCGGUUUCUUCUUUCUUCUACAGCCGUAUAACCGUAUAACCAAGAUUGCUCUCUCAAUUUGGAUCUCUGCCGUGAAUCCGACUCUCAGCUCUCCCAUAUCAAUAUCGUCGACGAACAGAAAGUGAUAAGAGAUAGAUUGCGAGAGAGAGAGAGAGAGAGACGAAGGUUUUCUGUGUCUUAUGGGUCUUCUCACUCUUCUGCGAGAGAGAGAGAGAGGAAGUGAAGGCUAAUUCCAGGGAGAGGAAGAACAGGAAACAGGAAGAGGAAGAAGAAUUUGAUACACCAAGUUCAUGUUGGGAAUAUGUGAGAAUUGGAUUUCAGAAUUUGCUUUUUUUUUUUUUGUUCUCUGUUUGAUGAAAGCUCUGUGGGUUUUGAAGAAGAAAGAAGAACAAGAAUAUAGGAGCUUGAAGUUCUUCACUGAUUGGUAAGCUUUGGCAUCGUCUGUAUUUGAAGUUUGAUCAUGUGUAGCUCAUAAUUGUUGUAUCGAAUCGUAUAUCCCAGUUUCAACUGUACCAAUGAUAGCACAGUGAAACAAAUGUUCAAUUGAUAGGUCAUCAUCGAUCUUGGGGCAAUCGAUGUGGAAAAUAUUCUGUGUUUCUUCCUACUACUAAAAUAUGCCUUUGGAUACAUGCUCAGAUGCAUCAAUACGUGGUGGAAGAGAAAUCCUUUUAAAGGAAGCUUGCUGAUCAGUAUAUUGUCAUUGCAGAUUUGUAAGACUAUUUUGAGCUACAAAUUAAGUGCAAUCACAACAGUGAAGUGGUCUAGUCAUUAUUUUCUUUUAGUAGUAAUGAAAGUAUGAUAUGUAAGUAUAUAUAUUGAAAUGAUACAAUGAAAUUAAAGAGACUCAACUAUAACAUACAAAUUUGAAUGUAAAUUACGGAUUUGCCCUCCCUUUUUCCCUUAAGUUACAUCCCUGCCAUUCAGUCUGAGUUAAAAAGCUCUAGAUAUUUUCUGCCGCUCUCUCUCUACCUCGACAGUUGUACGUCUUCUGUAGAACAAUCCUGAGAGAGUUCAAGAACGAUCUAGAGAACCAUGAAGAGGAUUAGUGAGAGUGAGAGAGAGAGAGAGAGAGAGGUGAAAUUCAGGAAACAUAAAGAAUUCAUCUCAUCAUCUCAGCACGACGUUAGUUGCUCUUCAUCCCGAGACUGAUCGGAGAGGCACACAGAGAAAGAAGUGGGAGAGGGAUAUGGGUUUUGACUACAGCCCCAAAUUUCUAAUCGGAGAGGCACACAGACUGAAGCGGUAUUGUUUGUGCUCGAGUUUGGGAUUUGAGUGAUCGAUUCUAAAAGGUUCAAGUUUGGAUUCUGGACGGUUGAUUGAAAAAAUUACAAGACAUAAUAUGACAAAUCUCGGUGUUUGGAUUUUGAUUUGAGGAAGCUGAAAACUUAUCUGGCCAAUUCGGAUUUGAGGUUGUGAUAACUUGAUCAAUAUAAGAUGUCUCCAGCCAAUUCGGAUUUGGAUUUGAGGUUGCUGAUAACUUGCUUCAUGAAGCCACUAGGAAUCUAGAAAGUUUGAUAUUUUUCCCCCAGACCCUUAGAAGCAAGAAAGAUAUUCAAGGGAGGCUUGACAAAGAACAAGCAGUUCUUUGCUUUGCUCAACUCACCAGCAUUGAGAGCUACAAGAACUGUACUGGUUGUGUGUUGAGCUUAGUUUUUCUUAAUACUCUUAAUCCGAAAUACAUAAACUCUUAAUCCUAUAUAUUCCAAUCAAAAACUAGAAUGACCAUUAAAAGAACAAUGCAACUUUUUUGUGCCGCAGCAUCGCGCGGCUGGGUUUUCUAGUACAUAUACUAAAGUUGGUGCAUGGUUACUGUUACUAAGCCGUUUUGGUUGGAAUUGGUUCGAGCCUAGCCGGUUAUUAAAAGACGCUUUUGCCCCUGUUUCUUAUCUCUAAGAGACCAUGUGCUGCGAAACAGUUGCAAUGAAGACAAAAGAAAGCUUGCUGAUCGUUCUACACUUCCCAAUCAGUGUUCCAAAUUGAUUCACUGAAUCAAGGAAAGUUGUUGAGUGUCAGAUUUAUCAAAAUCAAUGGGAAAGUCAAGAGAGCAUGUGCUGCGAAACAGUUGGAAUGAAGAGAAAAGCAAGGCUGCUGAUCGUUCUACACUGCCCAAACAGUGUUCCAAAUUGAUUCACAGAAUCAAGACAGAAGCAAGAUUGGUCAUAGUUCUAGACUUGCCCAACAGUGUUCGAAAGGGAUUCACUGGACGAUUACAAUUCUACCCUGAAUGCUUUGAUCUAUAAGCAAAACGUCCAACUUUCUUUUGUUUCCAGAACCCUCUAUGAAUAUCAGCCUUUCAAUCUGCCGACAUCAGAAAUAUCCAUCAGCGCCAACACCUAUCAGAGCUUGGAAGUUACUGAUUCAGCGAACCACAAGUAAAAGGCUUUGAAUCUGGGUUUAUUUGAGGGUCCCUACUCACAAAAGUUGCUCUCUAGGUUAGUCAAGUAAUUAAAUUUGUGUUUUAGUUCAAUUUCUGAUCUCCUAUCUCAGUUCAAAUGAAAUUUCUUUCUAACAUUGAAUCAUUUUGAGAAACAAGUUCUUCUUUCUUUGUUUCAGCUAUGUCUAAAUGAAUAAAGAACAAACUGAUAGAGAUCAUUUCAUCAUUUUCUCAAUUUCAUGGCAAUCAAAUACAAAAUACAUGAAAACUCCAUGAUUAAUAAGUAUACUGUAACAUGUAACUUGCUUUAUAUACUGUUUUAAUUUUUUUUGUUCAAAUACAUGCCCUUUUAUUAUUUUUAUUUUUUUAAUGCUGGGAUACUUCAUAUUUUCAUACUAUAUGUGCUGGAGAGAGUUACAGAUUUACAAUUUAUUAAGUUUUAUUUUUCUUUCCAUUAGCAUUUUUCUGCAGUUUCUGUGUUUCAAGCAAAUAUUGUGCAGGAUUUUAGUAUUCAUAAGUGAUUAACUGCCCAAAACAGUUGUUCUGUUUUCUCUUUUCGCAGAAAGAUUACUGUUUAGUGUUGGGUGUUCUGCGAGUUUAUAGUAAAACCUCAGUUGGUUUACACUCUAAACUGUAAAUGUAUCCUAAUCAAUAUUUCUUUGUUUUGUUUUGUAUGCAGUACUUUGUGUUUUGUAUCCAGUAUUUUGUGUUCUGAAGUGCGACAGUUUCUAACAAGAAGAUUUAACAAGAAGAUUCGGUUGGUUUGCUUUAUUCCUGUAGUGUAUCAAGAGAAAGAGAAGAAGAAACGUAAUAAUUCUGAGUUUGGCUUGGAGACUUUGUUUGCUUGAUCUUUAAUAGCUAUAUUGAUUUCAGUUAAAUUAUUUACUAAUCUUUAAUAUUGUCAUCAAGGCAUAAGCGAUGGAGGAACUUUCCAAGAAUCUUAAGAAAUAAUUGAACAAAUCAAACCAACAUAUCGUAAAAGAUAUCGUAAACAUAGACACAGCAAGAUGCUUCGAUAGGGGAAAUUGAAGCAAAUGAGAAACAUAGAUACCAGCUCCAACUUGAGAAGGUCAUUAGUAACAAUGGCAACAAAACUUGCAAAGUCUUGGCUUAUAAGGUAUGUGCAAUUGUGCAAUUGCAGAUGGUACUGUAUUCACGCUUUCACUGACCAAUUGUGAAAAGAAAACUAUGACAAAUUGAAGUUGGAGAUUGUCAAGAGAAACAGUAUGAAGCUGUUAAGAUUAACUUUCAAGUUUUCCUAAACAACAAGCUUGCAAUACAAGAAAAGAUUAGCAAUGAAAUUACAAGCUGUUUGAAGGUGUUGGAGUGUGAGAAGAAGACUGCUGAAAGUGAGAAAACAACAAGCUUGCAAUACAAGAAAAGAUUAGCAAUGAAAUUACAAGCUGUUUCAAGGUGUUGGAGGGUGAGAAGAAGACUGCUGAAAGUGACCUUGAAACACCUAAUUUCAUCACACUGAAUUCAAAUUAUAUUGUAAAUAUUAUCAUAAACUUUCAAUUCUAUAGAGAAAUUUGUGUUAAUUGAUUGUUUAAGAUUAAGGAUCCUAUCCUUGGGAUACUUCUUUAAUAUUAUGUUCAUCAAAAUUUCUUUAUUUAGAAUGGUUCCAAUUGUUAUUAA